GUGCCAGCCGCCGCGGUAAUACCGGCAGCACGAGUGAUGGCCGCUAUUAUUGGGCCUAAAGCGUCCGUAGCCGGCCGGGCAAGUCCGUCGGGAAAUCCACCCGCUUAACGGGUGGGCGUCCAGCGGAAACUGUCCGGCUUGGGGCCGAACGACCCGAGGGGUACGUCCGGGGUAGGAGUGAAAUCCUGUAAUCCUGGACGGACCGCCGGUGGCGAAAGCGCCUCGGGAGGACGGACCCGACGGUGAGGGACGAAAGCCAGGGUCUCGAACCGGAUUAGAACCCCUGGUAGUCC
rnacentral:rRNA from 1 species